UCACUGGGUGGGGGCUCGAGCUGGUUUUGCAUUGUGUUAUUGGAACGGAAGCCCUAGAUACUGAACCCGGCCCUUACUGCUGCCAACUCUGAUGGGCAGAAGGGUUACAUAUAGAUGCCUGACCAAUAAAGUAUUGGCACUUGACUGCAUUGGUUUGGAACCCAGAAUGCGUACAUCUGAAUAUCAAAGGACUAUCAUUGGUCUGAAAGGCCAUUUUGUUUGCCACUGCCAGAUUUGUUCAUGUUUUUUAAAUACAUGUCAUAACCUUCAUUUUUAUUUUGUAAGUAAGGGCUGGAUCCUGCUUUCCUUGGAGCCAAUAGAGAUCAGACCUUAAUUGUGUGAUUACAGAAGAAGGCUGCAAAAGCAGAAAUAAAGUAGUUAUUACUUAGUCCUGCCUUGAGUGCAGGGGACUGGACUAGAUUACCUACUGAGGUCCCUUCCAGUCCUACACUUCUUUGAUUCUAUGAUUAAAUGCAGCGUCUUAGUUCGGUAACAGACUUCUGGAGCUGUGUUUAUUUUUUCUAUUAGACAUAAUAGCAAAUGUUUAAUAUUUGAGGCAGAAGUAGAGACUGUACCUAGUGAGCCCUGACAUGAUGAGAAAAUCCACUCACCUCUUUCUGACUUACAUAUAAACAGAAUGUCUUUCCUUCGAAUUUCAUUUUGGCUACCUCGUUCCUAAAAUUACAAAACCACAUAUGUAACAGACAUGUUGCUCAUCACCCAUAUCACGGUCAUUAAUGCAGAACCCACACACAGUGGAAUUGGAAUCGGUAAUAUGCACAAAUUAAGCCAAAUUGUUUGUAUGAAACGCAAAAUUAAUCAAUAGACUAUUUUCAGAACAGUAGUUGGAACAGCUUCAAAGCCAUAUUUUUCAGUUCAUCCGAAGUGUAACAUAGUGACAAGAGGACUCCUGGCUCAAAGACAGUGGCUGGAAAGGGGAACGUCUCGGGAUGGAAUGUGAAUCGCAGGGGAAUGUCCAGGAGUCGUCUGAGAACUUUGCUUAUAUAUGUGCAUUAUCUGGAUGAAAAUAUCAAAUGUAAGAUACCACACUGAGCUGAUGAGGCCAAAAUUUGAGAUACAGCAAAGAAUGAGGAACAAUGCAACCAGCUUCAGAGGGUUUUGGGGGGGGUCUUUCAGGUGACUGGGCCAAUACAUGGACAAUGCAGUUUAAUGUAGACAAAUGUAAAAAAUAAUAAGUCUGGGGCAACAAACCAAAUAUAGAGAGUACAUAUUACAUGGAACAGUCAUGCAGCGUACUGACCGGGAAAGGGGUUUAGGGGUUAUUGUAGAAAAAUCCUUGAAGCCAUCAGCCCAGUGUGUGGCUGCAGUAAAAAAGGCAAACAGGAUACUGGGAUGCAUCAACAGUGGGAUAGAAUACAAAGCAAGAGAAGUGAUACUGUAACUGUACAUUGCAUGGGUUAGAUCUUAGCUAGAACACUGUGUUUGGUUUUUGUCACCUUUUCAAAGGAAAACACCAUUGCCCUGAAGAGGGCAGAGUUCUGAACGCCUAGAGUUAAAUAACUGGCAGCAUUUAAGAGGACUUUCUCUUUUUCUGCAGCAGAAAUAUCUAUCUGCCAAGAGACUUCCUCCAUUUAACAGAUACUGUGUGUACCUGUGAGGGAAUUCCAACCACUAUUCUUGGCAAUAACAAUGUAAGAACAUAAGAACGGCCAGACUGGGUCAGACCAAAGGUCCAUCUAGCCCAGUAUCCCGUCUUCUGAGAGUGGCCAGUGUCAGGUGCCCCAGAGGGAAUGAAAACAGCAGGCAAUCAAUGAGUGAUCCAUCACCUGCUCUCCAGUCCCAGCUUCUGGCAGUCAGAGGCUUACAGACACCCAGAGCAAUCCCACUUAACAACAAAACCAAAGGGCGUGAAGGCCAAAAAUGCUGCAUUUCCUGACACAUCCUGGAACACAAUAAGAUCUCAUCAAAACACUGCAGCGCCAGCAAAGUUUAUACAUCAAUAGCAACACUCAGUCCUGAAUAAGGUGGGGUAAUGAAUCUUCCCUCUUAAAUUAUGCCAACAGAACAGUUCCUGGCAGCUUUAUUUAGACCGUGACAUCCUGCCUAUAGAUGGGAAUCUGCAGGAGCUCAAAAAACAUGAUUCGUCCAGCACAAUAUGUGAGCAGAAAAUACAAUACAGCUCUUGGACCUGUGGGACUACUGAUUUACUGUCUAGCGCUAACCAAGGAAGAAAGCUCCCACAUAUCACCGAGUCGCUCUCUUAAACUUGAAAACCUUAAAUUGUUAGUUGCGCAGAUCUGAGCAGCACGUACAAAAGGUCCAGCUGACCAGAAUCAAGACACUUUUAAAAGCAAUAACUCGUGUCAUGGACAGUGCGAGUCAGCAGUUUAAUUUAAUCAUAAUGUUUAGGCUCUAGUGAAGGGAACAUUAAUUGUCUUGGCAUUGAUGGAAAAAUACAUGCGUCAACUUUUUAAAAUAUCAUGCACAGCAGUAGGUGCUGUGUAGGUAA